CAGAAUCUGUCUGAAGGAAAGUAUAAAAGCUUCGAUGAGUUCAAAGCCGACGCUCAGCUGAUCGUCCACAACACGGCCAUCCUGUACGGAGUUAACAGCGACCAGGCGGAAAUCGCUCGGCUGCUUUUCAGCGACACAUGCCACGAGCUCAACGAGUUGUUGUUGUGUAAAACCUGUUUCUACCUGUCCAACGCGCGGCCAGACAACUGGUUCUGUUACCCCUGUGUGAGUACAACAACAACAACAACAACAACAAACAUACACAACUACAGCUUCUCUGGACCAAAUGGCUCUUAAAACACACACACACAGUUUGAUUGUGUUCUACAAAGCACACUGUUUGUCACUGUUCGAACAGAAACCAACUUUUUUGACACAAAUGUUUGGACAGUUUUGAGCCA